rnacentral:RNase_P_RNA from 1 species
GGGGCUAGAUGAGUAGUCGCUGCCUUACUGUAAUGGUAGGGGAGAGGAAAGUCCGGGCUUCACAGGGCAAGGAUGCCAGCUAACGGCUGGUGGAGGUAACUCCAAGGAUAGUGCAACAGAAAUGUACCGCCAGAAGGUGACCUGCCAUUGAAAAUCAGCUUUGCUGAUGAGGCAGGUCGCUGUUCACGAUUUUCUGCGUCAGGCUUGAAAAUCGUGGAACUGGUAAGGGUGGAAAGGCGGUGUAAGAGACCACCGUAUCGUUGGUAACAACGGUAGCCAUGUAAACCCCAUCCGAAGCAAGUUCUAAGCAGCGCGUACGCGGCCCGCCAGCGCUAGGUUGAACGCUUGAGGCCACUGGCGACAGUGGUCCUAGAUAGAUGACUACUUUAAAAGACAUAACCCGGCUCACAGUCUAACCCUUUUA